rnacentral:rRNA from 1 species
AACGAACGCUGGCGGCAUGCCUAACACAUGCAAGUCGAACGAGACCUUCGGGUCUAGUGGCGCACGGGUGCGUAACGCGUGGGAACCUGCCCUUAGGUUCGGAAUAACUCCCCGAAAGGGGUGCUAAUACCGGAUAAUGUCUUCGGACCAAAGAUUUAUCGCCUUUGGUUGGGCCCGCGUUGGAUUAGCUAGUUGGUAGGGUAAAAGCCUACCAAGGCGACAAUCCAUAGCUGGUCUGAGAGGAUGAUCAGCCACACUGGGACUGAGACACGGCCCAGACUCCUACGGGAGGCAGCAGUGGGGAAUAUUGGACAAUGGGCGAAAGCCUGAUCCAGCAAUGCCGCGUGAGUGAUGAAGGCCUUAGGGUUGUAAAGCUCUUUUACCCGGGAUGAUAAUGACAGUACCGGGAGAAUAAGCUCCGGCUAACUCCGUG